rnacentral:rRNA from 1 species
GAAGAACCUUACCUACUCUUGACAUCCAGAGAAUUCGCUAGAGAUAGCUUAGUGCCUUCGGGAACUCUGAGACAGGUGCUGCAUGGCUGUCGUCAGCUCGUGUUGUGAAAUGUUGGGUUAAGUCCCGCAACGAGCGCAACCCUUAUCCUUUGUUGCCAGCACGUAAUGGUGGGAACUCAAAGGAGACUGCCGGUGAUAAACCGGAGGAAGGUGGGGAUGACGUCAAGUCAUCAUGGCCCUUACGAGUAGGGCUACACACGUGCUACAAUGGCGUAUACAAAGAGAAGCGAACUCGCGAGAGCAAGCGGACCUCAUAAAGUACGUCGUAGUCCGGAUCGGAGUCUGCAACUCGACUCCGUGAAG